rnacentral:lncRNA from 1 species
UCCAAACAGGAGAUCACGUGACUAAAGCUUUUGAGAAUGGCGAACGGGCAUUUCUUUCUUUUUCCUUGUAAGGUAUGCAUUCAUGCAGACAGAUAUAGAUAAGAUCUCUUUUUAUAAAAGAAGAAAUUCGAUACCUUAUCAAUGGUAACAACUCAUUUGAAGCAUAUAUAUACAAGAGGAAUUUGUCUCUUUAGGCCCUUUUUUAUUUACUGUUCACUCGAGUAUCAUUAUCAACAAAACAGAUUCUCCUUUUCUUUUUUGGUAGAUUAAGGAUGUUACUUUUCUUGUAAUUUGGCUUUCACUUUCUAUUUUGAUUCUUGUUUCAAAAUGGUGAGACGCUGUACAAUGGUAGAAUCGCCUAUUUUACACAUUCCAUAAAUAUUGUAAUUGUUAUUAAGAAGUUAUAGUUGAAGUGUACUGUGUCUUACUCUUUGGCUAUUGGUAGUUGACGUCUUUACUGAAAUUUUAAUUCAUGGGAUCCAAUUGGGCGGGGAAUGUGAAUUUAGUCUUCUUAUAAGUUAUAUGGUCUUUGGUAAUUCUCUAGCUAGCUUUUAGGGUUUGAAUUAGGCCCAAGGUUCAUUUUCUUAUUAAGCGAAGGUUGUAAUGAAUGGGCCUCUCAAAACAUUAUACUCCUAUUACUUUGAAUUUCUGCAAUUGUGUACAUCUAUAGGAUAUUUUGUUUGUUCAAGCCUAUGGCAUGUAGUACAUGAGUGUUUUGGUAUGAAGAUAAUUGCUGCCAUAUGCUUAUUUGGUGAUGAAAUUCCGGAUGUUGGUCAAUACAGGAGCAAAAUUAUUAAUUAAUCCAAGUGUAUUAUCCAAAACAAACAACAAGUGUAAAGACAAUUUUGAUGUUAAAAGAAUAAGACGGGAAAUUGGACAGAAACAUUCGCUAUAAAAAGUUGUAAACGGAGAAAUACUAAUUCUCUAUUUUUGAUGUUUAUUCAUAGGCCAAAGUAGUUAUCUAUAUCACUUGUGUUGCUUUUCAUCUUUAGUUGUUCGGGUGAUACUUGAGAAAACUGCUUUAGAAUGGAUCUUAUUUCUGAUUAGUUAUAAAACCUUCAGUCUUAGCAUGAAGAAAUCUAUUAUUGAUUGUCAACUGACUCAAAGAACACCACUUCAAUUCUUUUCCCUUUUCUCUCAUCUUUGUUGAAGAGCUUGAAUUGAGGAAGAAUGAUAUAUUUUCUUAUAAAAUAUGUUUAUAUAGAUUCUCCAUCCCCUAAACAUGGAUUUGUAAUACAGUUUUCUGCUCCUUAUAUUUAGACAUAAUUCGGAGAGCUUAUGUUGAUUUGUGGAGUUAAAGACUUGAUUCUCAUUGACGAAGCAUUUGCAAUAUUUCUGAAGUUGCAAAUGGAGGAAAGUGCUUAACACAUGAUUUGUUUGAUUAGAAUUGGUUUCUGUAUAUGACCUUGCAAAGGCUUUUUACUUCAAGAAUUAUAGAUAUAUGGAACAUUCAACUGCUAAAGGUUAUGCAUAUCCUGUACUGCUAAAAACUAUGCAACCCAGAAUAUUAGAUAUUAGAUCCGAAAAUGAGAUCCCAGCAGAUCCAGUGGUAUCAUAUAUAAUUUGGAAUUCUAUUCUUACACAUUAUUUUCUUCCGGGGUGGAGAUGAGACAUAAUUAGUCAUGCUUCGCCUUCUGUGUGGAGAUGAGAUCUCUUAGCUCCAACUGAAACCAUUUAAGUCAAGUUGCUUGCAACUAGAAGCAGCAUCAGUUUGGUCAUCCGUGUUUAGGUCCAGCUUAGGAGCAAAGUAAGGCAGCUCAUACUCUUGUGACGAUAUCUGCUUCUCUGGUUUCAUUGAAUCACUUCUCUCAGAAGAUUGAUGAAAUAGUUUACUGUCUGCAUUUAUUCCAUUAAGUCUUCCAUCAAAGUAGGUACUGCUAACAUUCCGUUUUCCUCCUUGAAGUCCAAUGUUCAUUGAUAAGUUGCUCCAACUUGUCUCUUUGGUAAAUUCUUUUUCUGAAUCCCCAUCCAUUUUGGGAAACAGUUUUCUGUUCUCCUUGAGGUCGUCACGCCAUCUUAGUUCAGUCUGCUGUAACCUGGUCUCAUUUUCAAUAUCCUUCGUACAUGGUCCGAAGUUUAAAGGCCUCAAACCAAUCUGGCUAUUAUGCAUUUCCCGCAGGUCCCUCAGGGGGCGUUCAGAGGACGUUAAGCAGCUAUCCAUUGAGCAAUCUGCUGGCGGGGUUGCUUGUGUUUGUGGGGUGUGAAAUCCUGAAAGUUCUUUUAUCUCUGAAAAAGCAGAAUUAAGGCAUUGGUUGGAUACUUUGGAUACCAAAUCAGACAGUUGAUCCUUGGCUGCCUCUAAUCCGAUUGUUCCCAAGUUUUGUGUUCCAAGGGUUUCUUGUGCUUUCUCAAGCACAGCUUGCAAAUAUUUCCCUUGAGCCUCUAUCCUUAGCUGCAAAUGUCGUUGCACCUAUAUCAGUUCAAUUAUGCCUCAUUUAGAUGCCAGCAAAGGAAAACUUUCAUUGACUUGUAAAGUUUGGAUAGAAGUAAAUCUAUGCAGAGUCUCUUAAUUUGGAUCGUCAAGUCUUAAAACAAAAGCACUAUCUGGGACCAGAAAAUAGACUAAGUAAUAUAUUGGAGUUCAAUUAGUCAUCAUCAGAAGCCCGUAAGGAAGAUUCUUCAUUACUAGUAAUGUUUGCAUAGAAUCACAUUGUUAAAUUAUUACUCCUUAGAGCAAAAUCUCUAUUUUGGACUAGGACUAUUAAACUACUUGCUCAAGCUGUUAUUCCAUUAUCUUGUUUCCACAAAUAUGAGAAAUAUGGUUCUGGUAAAUCAAUAUUCUUUAAUGAAAAUGAAAAUGCCUGAUAAUGUUUCAACAAUCUAUUGCUUCUGACUUUUCUUCAGAUUAUGACACAGGAUGUCUCAUCUGUUGCUACUAACAUAUUCCACAUUGGCUUUUAUGGUUCUAACUAAACUUAUGUAAGAGAAAUUUUGCAACAGUUUCUUACCUCAAGCUGUUCAUGCAGCCUUCUUUGGACUUCAAUUUGCAUUUGUAUUGCUUCGCUUAUUGGUAUGUUGCUGGACAAAAAGAAAUUUAUGGUCGCGAUAGUGUAAGGUAUGGUUUGGACAUGAAGCAGGAUGAUAUUAACAAUUCAAUUCUCUUAAUUCGUACUUGUUUUGUUGGGGUCCAAUGCUUGGAAUAUUGCUCAUAGGGGUUCCAGUGCUCUCGCAUAUCUUCUCUAUACUGGCUGCUGUAAUUAUUUACAAACAAUAAGUAUAUGAAGGUUCUCUAUCUGUGGAAGAAGCUUUCUGGAUAUAUAUAUCCUUGAAAAAUAUUGGAUUUCUUUUUCUUACCAGAUUUAUUGGCCCCGCUAAUAUUUGCUUGUCCAUGGAGGUUCUUACUUAGUCUGUAUUUCUGCCAGCCAAAAUAGAAAAUUAGAUUUUCAUGAGCAAUUCAAACGUAUCUGAAUGACUGAAUGACAGGUUUGCUCUUCAAUUAUUUGACAUAAACAAUUUUAACGGUCUUUCCAGUUGAUUUGGCAGAUUUUUUCGCUCUUAACCAAAUGUUUUUUGUUUGGAAUGGUGUAUGGCAGCUAUGUUAUGAAGGUUUUUCAUGUCUGAUUUUCCCUCUUGAAAUGUCUAGUUUCUUCACAUCUAAUUUUGUAAACCAAGGAAUGAAUAAAAACUAACCUGAAGAUGGCUCUUUAAGUGGUACAAGGUUAGUCCCGGGAUCCCCAUAAGUUUCAGAACUGAUUUCGGAGUGGCUUCUGCAAAAGAAGAAUGGUGAAUUUAAUUAUCUCAAUGAAAAAUAACAUACAUAUAUAUGGAGCUUAUCCAAAUUAACAAAUUUUGUGUGCACUUACUGUCUGCUCCACCUAGUUGGUUAACUGCUUCUAUAAACCUCUCAUGGAGGUCUGCUGUCCAUUUCAAUCUUGGCUUAGCAUCGGUCGAAAGAACAAGCCCUGAGUCUCCAUUGACAUUCCCAGCUUGCAGGAACAGAUGCCUUUCGGGGAAAGACAUUCUUGUCGAAGGGUGCAUAUUGGCAGCUUGGUGGUGAUGGUACAUCUUCUGGCCUUGAAUAUGAAUAUAUGAUGAUCAGCAAAUAAGUCUUACGGUAGGAUUUAUAGGAAUGAUGGGCGACAAAGUAUUUGUCACGUACGUGGAAGGAAUCUGAUGUCGCUUCAGGUUCAGUGACUCCAGUCUUUUCUUACCUUUUUAAUAGCAAGUAAUGAUUCUUUACUAUUCCUCACAGUAUAUAACAUUGUUUUACAUUUGGUUAAACAAAGGUGUCAGCUACAACUCUAUAUAUAUCUCAUUGUUUUCUUUGACCAAAUCCACAAAAAAGAUAUAAGGCAAGAUUCUAUGGAUUUAACUGAACCAAUUGUUUUCUGCUCGAACCAGGUAUAUAUACGAAGAAAAAAACAUUUAAAAUGUAUAUAUAUAAUAAGAUUACACUCAUUGUAAACUCAAUGAUUCUAGAUCCUGAAUUUGCCUCCGACUCUCAACCAAUCUAAUUUUCAUAGCAGCUAAAGAUAAAGGUGUUGGUUUUACACAUUUAUGGGUCCAGAAUGCAAGUUCGCUUUCUAAUCUACGGGAAAGGCACCAUGCAUUAUAUUCCUCUGCACUAUAAGUUCCUGAAACACUUACACACCUUACAAUAGGUACAAGAAUUGAUCCAGCAAAGACUUUUUUCUAUGCAAACAUAUUCUUUAUCUGGCAAAGUUUGGGAACCAUAUUCCGAGAAGUAAUAGUGGAAUAUUUUUUUUUCCUGAUGGAGACGGGAGGAAUCCACUAUCUAUGAUGUCUUGAAAACUACAACACCAUCUACGCUUUCGAAUGGAAGAUUCUAUUGACUGCAGCAUCUAGUACUGGGAAUUAGAUACAUGGAAGAAAAAAAGGCAAAAAGGUAAGAAAAUGGUUGAGAUGGUUCUCCUAUUGAACGCCUAAACAAAAAAUAUGAACAUUCUUUCUUUGGUUUCAGUUUGUUUAGUUAUGGACGUUCUAUGAAUAUUAUGUUGAUUAUAGCUUGUCCUGGCAAAAGUAAAUAAUCUAGUGUCUUGAGUUUCUAAACCUCAUUGUUUUACCAAAGCUUUGCUAGUAAUAAUUUUUCUUUCUUAUUUGUUUGUCAAGCCAUGUCAUGCUAUUCAAUUUCAUUUCCCCAUUUCCCUAGAUUUGUGCUUGCAUAUAUUUAUUUCAGGUAUGAGGAAAAAUUCAUCUAUUUAUGAAGUUUGAAUGUCCCUUCGAGGUCUUGCACGUUUUUUUUUUUAAUUUUAUGGGGAGCGGGGUGCGCAAUUUAUGUUGGUGUUGGCCUGCAGCAGCGCCUCUUUGCUCUGUCCAGUGCUAUGAUGUUUAGACACGGUAUAGACACAAGCAUGCCAGUUUUAGAUGGUUAAUAACUUUAAUGCAACAUCUUGGCCUGUACAUAGUGAUAUGAACUUCUUGAAUAUCUUGAGCAUUCUGUUCAUUCUAUGGUAUUUUAAAAUUUAUGUGAAUAGGGAAAAUGGAUGAAGAAAUAAAAUAAAAAGAAAUAGUGGAGAGAUGCUUCUUCGCUUGGUCUGAAGGCUAGGAAUCGAAUGAAGAAUACUAUCUUGUUGUCUCCUUCAGUAAACUUGGUACUUAUUCAGCCUAAAAUAGAGAGAAGAGGACCUCCAGCUAAAAGUUUUCUAUUCUUUUAUUGGUAUGAAAUGGCCAUCUCCAAAGCAUUGGGACCCCUUUCUAAAGAAUAAAUAAAUCAAUACUUGUUUGAUGGAAAACAUGACUACUCGCAACUGAAAGAUCCCUAUUUACCGAUCCCUUGACUUAAGUCUUAAUUGGUUUUGGAGGUACCCUUGAAGAAUCUAUAUAUCCUGUUCUUACAAAAUAACUUUUGUGCCCGUUUAUGGGUUGAAACGUGCCCAUACGACACAUAAAGAUACAGUUCACUUUGUUUUUAAUCGUAGUUCUAUUUUCUUGGACAAGCUUGAGAAACUUAAUUUAUCCUCAUAUGUUGAAUAUAUAGUUUUCUUCUUAAAAGAACAUCCUAAUUUUGUGAAACUUUUUUUUCCCUUCUCUUUUAUCUGUUUAGUUUUUGUAGGGAUUUCAGGGAACUCAUACUAAGCUAAAGGCUUAUCCUAUUUUGCACCUCUGCCUCGUUUACUUUGUGUUAUUAAGUGUAUAUCUGUUUUUUCAUGUUUGCUCAUAGGAAUAUAUUAGGAACUAUUACAAUGAGUAAAAAAGAGUGUAGUGCGCAUCGAUUGAUCGAGGGAGGGAGGAAGCUUUUUAGUAUAAAUUGAGCUGUGUAGCAUUUCAAUCUACUGUAUAGAUAUAGACGAUUACAUUGGAUAAUAUUUUCAAAGGAGAAUCUUGUUACUGUUAUCAAGGAAUUGAUCCUGGAGAUCAUUUAUACUUUGAAUAUUUUCUUGGAUCAGUCCUUCAAGUUUCAUUUAAUGGCUAUGAUAUGUUAGUUGAAAAGCAUGCCACUCCCUUCAUUUCAUGUUUUGGCUAAUGGAUUAUAACCUGGAUAUUAACACAGCCUAUUAAAAUAAGCAAAGAAUAUUAUCAACUGAUGAACAGCCAAUAUAAUGCAGAAUAAAUUCGCAUACUAAGCAUUGGAACCUAGGUCUACCUUUUGGCUAUUGAGAAUACAAGUUGAAAAUCUGCCGCUGUUGAACAAAAUGAGGUUAUUGCAUUGCAAAAUUAAGAAACGCUAGGUUCCAGAAGGAAAAAGAAAAAUUGACAUUAUUAUUGGUUAGGCUUAUGUUUUGUAUGUUUAAUUAGAUACAAUUUGAUUAAAAAAAAAAAAAAAAAAGUGAAAAUUCCUCAUCUUGACAUGAUAUGCACAUUAGUUUCAGUUGAACUGAACUUUUGCAGAAAAUAAAGAAUAAGGUGACUAUUAUAUGUUAGAGUAUUUUAUGGAGUUUGGAGUAAUGCAUUUUGUAUUCAGUUUAAAGGAAUCUAUUACAACCUUUAGUUGAAGUGGUAAACAGAAUCUCAAAUGUUUUUUCUGGCAUAAGGGUAGUUGUAGCAAGUGCUAGCUCUGAAUACUUUCUCUGAUGCUCUGAUCAAUAUGAGAGUUUCCAUGUUUUUUAAUGUUCUUUCAUCGCAUAUAACCAGAUUCAUUUUUGCUUAUGAGAACAACAAUAACAACCCAGUAUAAUCUCACUAGUGGGGUCUGGGGAGGGUAGUGUAUACGCAAACCUUACCCCUACCCGGGGGUAGAGAGGCUGUUUCCGAUAGACCCUCGGCUCCCUCCCUCCAAGAACUCCCCACCUUGCUCUUGGGGUGACUCGAACUCACAACCUCUUAGUUGGAAGUGGAGGGUGCUCACCGCCAGAGCAAUCCACUCUUGUCCAUUGCGUAAACAUCCGCAGGGACCAUNNNNNNNNNNNNNNNNNNNNNNNNNNNNNNNNNNNNNNNNNNNNNNNNNNNNNNNNNNNNNNNNNNNNNNNNNNNNNNNNNNNNNNNNNNNNNNNNNNNNNNNNNNNNNNNCGUCCCCGGCCGGCACGCGGCGACCCGCUCUCGCCGCGGGAGCAGCUCGAGCAGUCCACCGACAGCCACGGGUUCGGGACUGGGACCUCGUGCCCAGCCCUCAGAGCUAAUCCUUUUCCUGAAGUUUGGAAUUUGUACAUGUUAAUCCUACUAGCAUAGAUAUCGAGUAAUUCUGUCCACAAAGACUUUGACAGAUGAUUUUUUUUAAGUAGUGAUCUUAAUUUUUCAAAGGACCAUCCUCGGCUUCAUCAAGGGAAAGGAUGAACAGAGAGGACAGAAAAUGGGAAGCUUUUCUCCUAUCAAUGUAAAACAAAACACACUAUCAUCUAAUUCAUCUUGGAAAAUCUUGGUUUGUGAAGGUUAACAACUUGGUCUGGUUGAGUUUUUGCUACAAACAUGUAGUAGUAAUAACUUUAAUGUCAUGUCUCUUUGAAGCAGGGGCGGAGGCAGGAUCGAGGACCAGUGGAUUCAAAAAAAUGCUAAAAUGACACAUCUGGAAGUUUUCCUUGUUUUAAUAAGAUUCAACAUUCAAUAUAUAUACGUAAGAAAAGAUUUCACCUAUGCAUAGGGUAACUUUCAACAAAAGGAAUUCAAUUGAGCGCCAUCGGGCCAAUGUGACUCCGCCACUGCUUUGAAGGACCCAAGCUCUUUUCUAAUAAGCAUGUCACAAGAAAGUACUUAAUUUAUCCUUGGUGUUGCCAAAAAGCCAUGACUGUUGUUUCUCGCUUUUUUCAUACAGUUUAGAAUAGAACCCCAUUUGCUCUUUUC